rnacentral:rRNA from 1 species
AGUGAACGCUGGCGGCAUGCCUUACACAUGCAAGUCGAACGGCAGCAUGGCCUGGCUUUCUUGUUUCGUGUCGAGUGUCGCGGGCGGGUGUGAUACAUCUGGGCAUGCCUUUUUUUGGGGGAUAACAUGUCGGGAGUUACACGAUUACCCCGCAUUCGCUGUGCGGGAAAGAGCAGGGCCUUCUCGCAUUUCGCUCGAAGGAAUGCGCCGGUGUCGGAUUAGCUAGUUGGCGGGGUAAAGGCCCACCAAGGCGACGAUCCGUAGCUGGUCUGAGAGGAUGAUCAGCCACACUGGGACUGAGACACGGUCCAGACUCCUACGGGAGGCAGCAGUGGGGAAUAUUGGACAAUGGGCGCAAGCCUGAUCCAGCCAUGCCGCGUGAGUGAAGAAGGCCUUCGGGUUGUAAAGCCCUUUUGGUGGGGAAGAAAAGCAACAGUUUAAUACAGCGCGUGGCUGACGGUACCCGAAGAAGAAGCACCGGCUAACUACGUG